UAUCCCAUUUACACCGCACACGUGCUGAGGUUUUUGAUAUUUUAUUACAUUAUUUUAUUUUGCAGCAACUACCAAAAACAUCUUGAAGCAUCACCUAAUACAGGAAUCUAAUAAACAUCAAGUAAUUGGCGUCGGACUUAACAUUAAAUUGAGUUGAUGGCAAUGGUCACGGAAGCGAAGGUGAAUGGCAGCGAGUUGGAGUCACCUGCAGAGCUACCUCCCGCGCUCGCGGAGAAGCCUGCUGGUCUCCCACCUGGCAAGUAUGUACUUGUUGGAUGGGACAUGGAUACUACGGGCAGGAGGUUGAUAGAUGAGAUAUGUCAAAUUGCUGCAUAUACGCCGAAGCAAACAUACUCUCAAUAUAUAAUGCCCUAUGGUGACUUGAACCCAGGAGCACGCCGUCGGCAUAACGUGCGAGUCGUUACAGUCGGUAGAUACCGUAUGCUCAAAGAUACCAAUACUCAUAAGAUAUUGAAGACGAAAUCUGAAAUCUCAGCACUGUCGGAUUUCUUGGAUUGGUUGGAAAAGGAGAAAGGUGAUGGUAGAGUGAUCCUUAUUUACCACGAGCCUCGCCGCCUCAGUCCUACUAUGCUACUAGAAGCUCUCACUAAAUAUAAGUUACUGGAUCGAUUCAAGACGAUAGUAGCUGGGUUCACGGAUAGUUACGCUCUUGCUGCGGACAAGUGCAAGUCGACGGUCAAGUCGGUCUCUCUGCGAGUGCUCGCGCGAGUUCUUCUCGACGCGGAUUCCCUGUCUGUGGAUAGCGCACUCGACCGGGCAACUGCCGCGUAUAGAAUCGUUGAGCAUCUAGCACAAGGUGAGCAGCAGGAGGUUGGCGCUGGUGGGGAAGGUGGCUCCGACCUGGUGGAGACGGCACGCACGUGGGCGCGACCGGUGCACACUGAGCUGGAUGCGCUUGCAGCUCUCAAACGACUGUUGGAAAGACAGAACACGUUCCGGCCUGUUUUCGCACCACUAUUGCGAUCGGCGCGGCCCGAGAGGAAACGUGUGACGCAACUGCGGCGAUUGUUAGCUGAUGCGGGCCUCCUCUACGACCAGCUCAAGGAUGCCUGGCAGGACCAGAAGCUCGAGGGACUAGAGAAACAAUUGGAGUCAUUGACAAUUUCCGCUAAAGAAGAGGACAUAAAGGAGCUGAUAGAAAUAUUUGACUGCCACUUUGAUCCUGCCAAAGAACCCAAGGGACCUAAGCUUAGAGUACCUAGAAAUAUACUCCGAGUAAGUAAUCUUGGAUAUGUUGAUUAAUCUAAACUAUAUGUUGUAGUGUAACAUGAAAUAUUUUGAGAAAAAUUCAAUAUACAGUGGAUGAUGAUAGAAUAAGCAAUGAAGUCUGGUCAGUUAGCAUAUAGUGUAUUUGAAUUUACCAGAAAUAAAAAACGAUCGUUUGCAAGAGAGAUGUGGCGGAGGUGAACAUGAUAUAUACAGUCUAUAAAUAAGACAGCACAAUACGCUUAAAACUAAACUGUAUUAACUCAGAAAUUAUAAAUUGUGAAAUAUCAAUACAAAUUGAUAUUUAAAAGUAUGAAAGUCUAUUUCACUAAGUUUUGAUAUUUUGUGUUAAUGCAGUUUAGUAUUAAGUGUGAUGUGUUCUAUACUGGUUAAGGUGCAUGAUUAGUUAUUUGUCUUUAAAUAAAUAGUAUACCUGAAUUGGGUAUAAUCCAGGUAAAUGAAUUUAUUCAAUAUUUCAAUAGGCGACAUCGUCAGCGGGCGAGACGGGAGAGGCUGACGGCAGUACUAGUGAGUCACAAAACAGCUCGCCUCACAACUCGCCCAACAAAACCACAAACAAUGAUGUGGCAGCAGCAGGGGAUCCUAGUCAAAAGGUAGCAGCGCCGGAGGCCGUGGCGGCCAACUAACGACGCGCUCGCUCCCAAUUUUACAAAUAACGAAAGCUUAGACUUUUUACCAUAUUACUAUUGUUUAGUAUUGUAACAGCCAUAGGAAUGUAACAUAUACAUUCAAUCGUAUUAUAUAUAUAGGUUACGUCUACUACGGAAUUGAAAGAUUUAUUUUGCAAGCAUCGGUGAACGAGUCUACAUAUUUUUUUUUCUAUUAAUUGCCCAUUGUUUUCUUUUUAUUUUGCUUUAUGCAUAAAGUUUUUCUAUAUACAUAGAUGAUAAUGUAGUUGAGUGCCUUAGCAACUCAGUGUUAUAAGAUAUAACGUUUUGUAUAUCCAUAAUAUUUUUGUGUCUACAUAAUAGUGGUGAACAACAUUUUGUUGUUUUUGCAAUGACAUAUGCAUAAUGAAAAUAUUCUUGUGCCGAUUUUACACGGUCGAGUGAUGAAGUUGCGAUUAUGUUUAGGCGCGUAUUGUGAACAUUGUGAUUGGUGCGAUGUUGCGGUGUUUUGAAAUAUUUUAAUAUAUCACAGUUUUAAUAUUAGUCAAAAGAAGCGAUUUAUAUUUUAAGUUUACAUUUGGGGCUUCGAACAAGGAUAUAAAAAGUACAAUUGGUUUUAUUUAUUCAAUGUUACUUUUUAUUUAUUUAAUAAUUAUGUGUGCAAUCGCAUAGUAACGGAUGGACUGAUUUUUAUCAUCCGAUAUUUUAAUAUUUUUUAUUUAUUUUUCCUUACCCCUGUUGCGUAGUAAGUUUUUAGGAUGUCUCGUUAUUUGCGCGUACGCUGAUACUGUUGAGCUAUUUACGUGCUGCAUUGUUUUGUUUGCCAUAGGAAAACUGUUAAUGUUUUUCUUCACCAUACAAUAAGCUACGUAAUAAUACAAGUGUGUACCUAUUAACUUACCUCUAAUUUAGUUUUAACAUAGACUGUACAUAUAAUUUAAUUUCUUAUUUUGUUCAGAUCUCUAAUAAAUAUGUAAGUCUACA